UACAGGGGGGGCAAGCGUUGUUCGGAAUUACUGGGCGUAAAGGGCUCGUAGGCGGCCAACUAAGUCACACGUGAAAUCCCCAGGCUUAACCUGGGAACUGCGUGUGAUACUGGAUGGCUUGAAUUCGGGAGAGGGAUGCAGAAUUCCAGGUGUAGCGGUGAAAUGCGUAGAUAUCUGGAGGAAUACCGGUGGCGAAGGCGGCAUCCUGGACCAUUACUGACGCUGAGGCGCGAAAGCUAGGGGAGCAAACGGG
rnacentral:rRNA from 1 species